CACACUGCUCCGGUGCUGUUUCGCUCCUCACGUUGUCGCCAUAGCCUACUGGCCAUAUCCUAUCUUCGUUUGCAUCCCACUACCUCUAAAAAAAAAUUCCCAUCCCCAAUCACAACUUCUCAUUGCCGCAGUUCCAGCAGCCGCCGCCACCUAUCUUUCCUCUCCCUUCCUUUCCUCUGCAUGGAGGACCACACCAAUGCUCAUCUCCAACGCAAGCUUGCCACCCCACCGCUUGGCCCUGCCUUCAGAUCCGCGACCCCACU
rnacentral:lncRNA from 1 species